AGGAACUCCCUUCCUCUUCCUUCCUAGACUGUGGCAUCUUCGGAGUUGACGGGAGUUGCAGAGCCAGGCCAAGCCAGCCUCCCUCCCAGCCAGUGACGGCAUCCUUCCCAGCGCCGGGACCCUGCCCGCCUGCCUCCCUAGCCCCAGGGCCCUGGGAUGAGCCUCUUUCCCAGAGUCUCCUCCAUGGCCCCGUAGAGGUUGCUGCCGUCUCAUCUUGUCCCGCAGGCCUCGGAUCUUUCCCAGAUGUGAAGGUCCUUCCCAGGCACUACUGAGGCCAGACUCGAGACUCAGGGACCCUAGUUCACUCCAGCACCAGCCCCUGCCCAAAGAGAUCCUGGCCCCUGCCUGCUGCUUCCUAGGGGCAAGGCUGCCAGGUCUUUCCCUCGUCUUGACGCUUAACUCAUGGUGUGAGUGGCCACCACAUAGCUGGUUUAGGUG